CGCGUAGGCGGCGGACCUUGUCGAGUGUGAAAGCCCCGGGCUCAACCUGGGAGGUGCGCUCGAGACGGGUUUGCUGGAGUUCGGGAGAGGAGAGUGGAAUUCCCAGUGUAGAGGUGAAAUUCGUAGAUAUUGGGAAGAACACCGGUGGCGAAGGCGGCUCUCUGGACCGAGACUGACGCUGAGGCGCGAAAGCGUGGGGAGCAAACAGGAUUAGAUACCCUGGUAGUCCACGCUGUAAACGAUGUGUGCUAGACGUUGGGGAGCGUAGCUCUUCGGUGUCGCCGCAAACGCUUUAAGCACACCGCCUGGGGAGUACGGCCGCAAGGUUAA
rnacentral:rRNA from 1 species